rnacentral:rRNA from 1 species
AUUGAACGCUGGCGGCAUGCCUUACACAUGCAAGUCGAACGGCAGCACGGGUGCUUGCACCUGGUGGCGAGUGGCGAACGGGUGAGUAAUAUAUCGGAACGUGCCCUAGAGUGGGGGAUAACGUAGCGAAAGUUACGCUAAUACCGCAUACGAUCUACGGAUGAGAGUGGGGGAUCGCAAGACCUCAUGCUCCUGGAGCGGCCGAUAUCUGAUUAGCUAGUUGGUGGGGUAAAAGCCUACCAAGGCGACGAUCAGUAGCUGGUCUGAGAGGACGACCAGCCACACUAGGACUGGGACACGGCCCAGACUCCGACGGGAGGCAGCAGUGGGGAAUUUUGGACAAUGGGGGAAACCCUGAUCCAGCAAUGCCGCGUGUGUGAAGAGGGCCUUCGGGUUGUAAAGCACUUUUGUCAGGAACGAAACGGUGGGGGCUAAUACCUCCUGCUAAUGACGGUACCUGAAGAAUAAGCACCGGCUAACUACGUGCCAGCAGCCGCCGCCG